rnacentral:rRNA from 1 species
UACGUAGGGUGCGAGCGUUGUCCGGAAUUACUGGGCGUAAAGAGCGUGUAGGCGGCCAAACAGGUCAGCUGUGAAAACUCGAGGCUCAACCUCGAGACGUCGGUUGAAACCGUUUGGCUAGAGUCCGGAAGAGGAGAGUGGAAUUCCCGGUGUAGCGGUGAAAUGCGCAGAUAUCGGGAAGAACACCCGUGGCGAAGGCGGCUCUCUGGGCCUGUACUGACGCUGAGGAGCGAAAGCGUGGGGAGCGAACAGG